rnacentral:rRNA from 1 species
UACGUAGGGGGCUAGCGUUGUCCGGAAUCAUUGGGCGUAGAGCGCGUGUAGGCGGCCUUGUAAGUCCGUUCUGAAAGCCCGGGGCUCAACCCCGGGAGGCGGAUGGAUACUGCAAGGCUCGAGUCCGGAAGAGGCGAGUGGAAUUCCCGGUGUAGCGGUGAAAUGCGCAGAUAUCGGGAGGAACACCAAUGGCGAAGGCAGCUCGCUGGGACGGUACUGACGCUGAGACGCGAAAGCGUGGGGAGCAAACAGG